rnacentral:rRNA from 1 species
GACGAACGCUGGCGGCGUGCUUAACACAUGCAAGUCGAACGGAAAGGCCCUGCUUGCAGGGUACUCGAGUGUCGCACGCGUGAGUAACACGUGGGUGAUCUGUGCUGCACUUUUUGAUAUGACUUGGAAACUGUGUCGAAUACCCGAUAUGACCUUUCCUGUUGUGUGGUGGGGGGAAAGAUUUAUCGGUGUGGGAUGAGCCCGCGGCCUAUCAGCUUGUUGGUGGGGUAAUGGCGUACCAAGGCGUCGACGGGUAGCCGGCCUGAGAGGGUGGACGGCCACAUUGGGACUGAGAUACGGCCCAGACUCCUACGGGAGGCAGCAGUGGGGAAUAUUGCACAAUGGGCGGAAGCCUUAUGCAGCGACGCCGCGUGGGGGAUGACGGCCUUCGGGUUGUAAACCUCUUUCGACAGGGACGAAGCGUCGGUGACGGUACCUGUAUAAGAAGCACCGGCUAACUACGUG